CGAGAAGGCGGCGCUGGGAGCCGCUCAGAGCCCAGAGAAGCGGCGCGCGGCCAGGAGCCCCCGCUCCGCCACUGCCGUGCCUGCCUCCCGCAGCUGUCUGCCAUGCGCUCGCCGGGGCAGGGGCGCCCGGAGGGCGGCUAGAGCUGGGCCUGAGCCCGGGAACGCGCCUGAUCAGGGGUGGCGGAGCCGCGGUCCCCACAGCCGCCCCACCCGCGCCGCUGCCUCGCUGGGGCCCGGGCCCCCUUCCCGGUCCUUACUCCCCUGCUGGUGCCUCCCUCCUUGGCGCGCUUCCCACCUGCGAUCGGCGCCCUCUUCGCAGUCACGAACUCGCCAGCAGCUAGCAGCACUGACUAGUAGGAGGGCCCGCCGGAGGAGAGGACAUGCUCUGGAGUCAGAAGACAGCGAAAAGAGAAGCAGAAGCCCCGGUGGCAAGAGUCUGAAGGAAGGAUGACUGUAGCCUGUGGAUUGUACUGCAGUAGGAAACUGUCCUAGCAAGGCUCCACUUUGCCCCAGCUUCAAGCUGGAAAGGAGGAGAACAUGAAACAUUGCUUGAAGACAAUGGCCGAGACAGCAGGUCCCACCCUGCACAGCCACCAGCAUCUCUCCCCUCAGCCCUGUCUCCUCUUCUGCAGUUGGGAUCUGCACAUUUAAGCCUGAAAUUGUCCUGUGAAGUGAAGUAUGAUCGGACAGCCUCUUUUCAGCUUUUAUGACAAUGGAGACAGAGGAAUUGUGGCUCUUGCCAAGGUCACAGGAUUGGAAUACAGAGCCAAGCCACCCCAGGACAUGCAAGAGCCUCAGAAGGGAAAAAAGCCCAGCAGGAAGGGAGAACAAGUAGCCUCUGUCCUGAAGUUGUAACAGCCAGGGGCCAGGAUGGAGGAGGAGGACCCCAUAAUCUGCCCAUCUGGGACUUGGCAGGGGACCUGGGAAAAUGUACCCCAACCCAUCCCUUAAGGGCCUUUGUCUUUGGCCCAUUGGCCUAGCAUCUACUUCUUCACCGUGUCUGUUCUUGUCACACCUAGUCAGGUCUGUUUGGGUCUGAGGUGCAUGGAACAUUCUGGGUAGGCCUCCAGCAAACGGAAGCUCUUCACCGUGUUUCCAGCCUGGGACCAAGGGCAGCAUACUGGCAAAGUUGCCAAAGCAAGGGACUCCAGCCUCUUAGGAGUUAAUGACUCCCUCUCCCCAGCUGUCCUCCCCUUGGUGCUCCUCUUCCUCCCUCCUCCUGCUCACAGCAGGCAGGGCCUAGACCCGGGAGCCAUGCUGCUGUGCUGUUGCCAGGGGAGCACGGAGGCAGAUCUGAGCUAUGCAGGGAAAAGGCCCAGCCUGUCAAAGUGUCUGAGAUGAACCGCCGCCGUCCCUGUGCAGCUGGGCUCAGACGUGUCUCAGCUCUUGUUCUGUGCCUGAGAAUGGCGAAACCCAGUGAGGUUCAAGGGCAAACUCGCUAUUCAUUAGUCAGGGGUUCUUGACGUCCCGUCUCUCCCAGGGAUGAGUUCCCCCCUCCUCUUUCUCCCCCUCCUAUGACACAUUCCUGGGUGCCUUUGGUGAGGACUGCACACCCUCCUCCUGCCUAGCCCCCUCUCCAAAGGCCCCUGAAUAAACUCCCCCCAAGGAGACCAGGCAGGGCAGAGACAAUGGCUGCAGGAAAUCAUUCAGGCGGGACAUGCUGGCCUGCCCUCCACCCAGUCCCCCUGUGGGCCCCACUCCCUUCUGAUUCAGGGCACCCUUGGGCCCCCAGCCUAUACAGGCCUGGACAGGAAGAAACCACUGGGAACCACCCUAAGGACAACAUGCUAGUCCAGUGCCAUUCUUCGCUGGCUCUGUGGGUGCCUUUGUGGCCUGUACCGACUGGCUGGCUAAUUUUGUGGUUUCUGUACCAUCACAUGCCUAUUUUAAGACACUCUCCAGCACUGUCGGUUAGGGAGUGUAAAUUUUGCAAUAUUUUCUGAAAUGUGGCAAUAUCAAAAUGUAAAAGGCACACAUACUUGGUCACAAACAAAUGGCACUAUUUACUCUGUGGGCAUAUUUGUAAAAGUUGCCAAAGAAUUAUAUACAAGGAUGUUCAUCAGAGCAUUUCUUUUGAAGAGUAAAGAAAUGGACAUGAACCUGUGGUCCGUUCAUACGGUGGAAUACCUAUGCAGCUGUAAAAAUCAGUGUGGUAGAUCUCCGUAUAUGAGUUGAUGUGGAAGGUUGGCCAGUUCACAUGAUAAGGUGAAUAGAAUAAGUUACAGAACAGGCUGUAGAGUAUGAUCUUAUUUGUAGAUGUUUAAAACUGAGUCAUAAGUAUGCUUAUAUACAGAUCGUUUCUGGAAGUAUGUACUGGAAGUCUACCUCUGGGGAGUGGGGAUGGGGGAGUGCACUCUUCUAUACUGUUAUAUUUUCUUUUCAUGCUCCUAAGGUACUUUUAUUGGAAGAUGUAAAGCGGUUCAAUGUAAUAGGCUUAACUUCUGUCAACUAAGUUGGCGUGGGUGCUUUAAGAGGGUGGUAGUGAUGUUGCUGGAGAAAGUAUCCCACAGUCACUGGUGGCUUCAGCCACGGGCCAUUUUGGGGCCUAAUAAUCACAUAUCAUCAUGGUUGCUAGUGUUAAUCGAAAACCUACUAAGUGCCAGGCUUACUGUCUCUGGGUCUUGCUUACGUGGAUGUCAUUUUUCCAGUUGCACCAAAUCGAAAGAGGUUAAUUGGUUUGUUGGAGUUCCUUUGUAGGUGAAGGGCAGAGCCAGGAGCUUGGCUAGGGACAGGGGAGGUGAGUGGGGGAUGGUGGAUAGGUCUUGGCUCCCAGUUUCCUUCUGGGCAGACAUUGCCCCUCUGCCCUGAGGACCUGCUUGUUUGGGGGAAGAGGCCUUUAGAGGCACCAGGGUCAUGCCAGGUGUUGGACAUGGUGAACUGGGAAGUGCUCCCAUCUGGCCACAGCGCAGAAGUAUCACCGUGCUGGGGGAUGGGGAACAGGGCUGUGAAUGGGCCUAUUUGCAUAAGCAGCAUGUGUCUGGAGAGAAAGACAUCACAGAGCAGAAGAGUGCGGGUGCCCAGGAGUGCACUUGCCACCCCUACUUCAUCCCUGAAAGAGUAAAUGGCCUGGAAGGUGUCUCUGAGAGGUAAUGCCGCACACCACCCUCCCUGGGGGCAGGGUCAGGCUACACCUGCCUUAGGUCGGGGGCUGCAGCAGCCUGAGAGCUCUCAGUAGGGCCUCAGUAGCCUGGGAGGGAGCAGGGGCAGGGGGCAGGGAAAGAGGCGUAAUGGGGCUGUCCAGAGGGGCCUGGGAAACCUGGUCCCUGAGGCCUGGGCACAGCUACAAUCACUUCAAAUUGGCUGUGGGGCCAGUGGACUGGGAAGGAAAAAAGCAAUAAGAGUGACCAAGUGCAGAAGGCUGUCAGGUCCCAGGUCACAUGCCUUAGUGCAGUGACUCCUCAUCAUUUUAUGGGGUGUGGGUGUCGUUGGUACACCCAUUUUACAGAUGAGGACACCGAGGCCCAGAAAAGUUAAGUUACAUGUCCUAAGUCACACAGCUUGUAAGUGCCAGAACUGAGAUCAAAACCAAGUCUCUUUGACUUUAAAGUCUGUACUCUGACCCCAAAGAGAUCCUGUUUGGCCACUUAUAGGAGGUCCCUAAAGCUGCAGACUCCCCUUGCCGGCACCCACAUAUAGAGACAUUAACCCUUCCCCUGCAGGGUCACCUCAAAUAGUCUUUUAGCUGGGCUUCUCCUGCAAUUCCACCUAAUGCCAUCCCCUGGGUUUUGCCCAAACCUGAACUGGGCAGUGGGGUGAGAGGAGGGGUUUACAGGGUUACAGAGCCUCAUACAGAUAGGAGCCCAUGGCUGCUGGUCAUCUGCAUUCCUGCAGGAUUGGCUGUUCCUUGGGGUCCUUGGCAGGAAAAUGAGGAUUGCUCCGAGGCCUGCUCCAGUACUUCCCAGAGGCUGGCCUGGUGUGGGGCUCUGGGAAGGCUGAGGCUGGAGAAGCGUAAGUAGGAGGGCAGAGAUGGCACUCAGGUAGCUUGAAUCACCAGGACCCUUCCAAGCCCCACAGGUUCUGAGGGAGUACUAGGGCCAGCUCUGGGAGAGGUCUCUUCCUAUGCUGUGAACCCCCUGCCUUUCUUGCAGCCUACAACGAAUAAAUUUUCUUUGCAAAG
rnacentral:lncRNA from 1 species